UAUAAAUUAUUUUAACUCAAAAUUUCUAAAUUCAUUAUGAAUAAUUAUAUAAUAUAAAAAUAAUUUAUAUUAAUAUUUAAUUUAUAAAAAAAGAAUUAAAAAUACUUUAAAAAAAUCAAUAAACAACAGUUCAUUAUAAUCUACUAGCCUUGGGAUGGUAAAUUCUAAUGUUUUACUUUGUGAGGAUGUGGGCUUUCAGUCAUUCAAAUGUGAAAUUGUUUCUACCAUAGUGUAUAAUGUUCUUUGAAGUAUGUCAUUUGUGAUACCGUGGAAAAUUAAGGCUUUGAUUAUGGUUCUCUCUUUUAUAUUUGCUCUCGCAUUUUAGAUGUUUUUGUUUCAAUUGAUUCCCUGUUAGGUGAAUACUGUUGCAGACAUGUUAGCUAAGUUUUGCCUAAGAGACUUACUACCCCCAGAUUGGUAGCAAUAUCAGUUCGCAGAUUUGUGUUCUUUGUUAUAACAAGGUUUUGCCCCGAGAAAUGUCUGUAAUGCAAAUGUUGAUUGGUAAGGAAAGAAAAGUUUUUAACUUUUUUAUACAUGUGGCUCCUAUGCUCGUCAACAAAAGCAUAAUAAUAAAAGUAGAGUGUAGUAGAACCUUGAACUACAGAUAUAGAACUUGUAGACAGGUCUUCAAGAAGCAAAGAAAAAGACAAAACUAGCCUCAAGAAGUAGAGAAGUAGAAAGAAAGAGAGAAGAAGAAGAAGAAAGGAGAGCAGAAAGGCGAAAAGACAGCCUCAAGAGGAAGCAAAAUGUUCGAGAGAAAGAGAGAAGAAGAAGAAUAAAAAGGACUUGAGCAUGUCUUUAGGAAAAGGGGCCUAGGGUGCACCUGGCUGCUCCUCGACUCCCUAGGCUCACCUCACAACAUUGCCCACUUGGAGAGGAUUGAGGCAUUUUUCCAUGAGCCUAGAUCGCUUGACACCUUGCUUGCACUUUGGGUCCACCUUUAAUCACAUUGCAUGUGAUGCCGAUAGCAAAGUGGCUUCUUUCUCUGUCAUUGUUAAAGUAAUGCUGAUGUAGCAUUUAAUAAAUGCGCAAUUAAAAAUAAGUUUUAAUUAGGAUAGUUUACAAUUUAAUCUUUGAAGUUCAGUAAAACCUACAAUGUAAUUCUUAUAUUUUCAAAUUUAGUCCAUAGUUGAUUUAUUAACAAAACAAUCUCUUUAGUUGCAAUUAAUCCCUACGUCUUCACAAAUUAAUUUCCAAGUAUUAAAAUUAUUUACAAAUAAGCCAUAAUAAUUUUACAAAUUAAUCUCCGAUGUGUAUUAAACUUUAAAUUCUUAUACUUGAAAAAAAAAGAGAAAAUAAUAAAAUAAAAAGAAAAUCAAGCUUAAAAAGAAUCCCCUUUUUGUACAACUUUCUCCUCUCCAUUGAUUUAAUUUGGGCAAAAAGGAAUCUCAAGAUUUUAAUUUGAUUUUUAUUUUAUUAUUCUCUCUCUCUUUUUUUUUUUUUUUCAAAUA